UGGGGAAUAUUGGACAAUGGGGGCAACCCUGAUCCAGCAAUGCCGCGUGUGUGAAGAAGGCCUGAGGGUUGUAAAGCACUUUCAGUGGGGAGGAGGUUGCAUAGGUUAAGAGCUAAUGUAAUGGACGUUACCCACAGAAGAAGCACCGGCUAACUCCGUGCCAGCAGCCGCGGUAAUACGGAGGGUGCGAGCGUUAAUCGGAAUUACUGGGCGUAAAGGGUGCGUAGGUGGUUAAUUAAGUUAUCUGUGAAAUCCCUGGGCUCAACCUGGGCAGGUCAGAUAAAACUGUUUAACUCGAGUAUAGGAGAGGGUAGUGGAAUUUCCGGUGUAGCGGUGAAAUGCGUAGAGAUCGGAAGGAACACCAGUGGCGAAGGCGGCUACCUGGCCUAAUACUGACACUGAGGCACGAAAGCGUGGGGAGCAAACAGGAUUAGAUACCCUGGUAGUCCACGCCGUAAACGAUGUCAACUAGCUGUUGGUUAUAUAAAUAUAAUUAGUGGCGAAGCUAACGCGAUAAGUUGACCGCCUGGGGAGUACGGUCGCAAGAUUA
rnacentral:rRNA from 1 species